ACCAGAACUAAUGUAAGGAAGCUGAUGUUGUUCACCAUGGCAGAGGAAGUGGUUCUUGCAGUAGUUCUGGUUGUUGUUGGGGUUGUUGUUGGGGUGGUUGCUGAGGUUGUUGUAGUGGUUGUACUUGUUGUUGGGGCAGUUGAGGUUGUUGUUGGGGUCGUUGCUGAUGUCGUUGUAGUGGUUGUAGUUGUUGUUGGGGUCGUUGCUGAUGUCGUUGUAGUGGUUGUAGUUGUUGGGGUAGUUGUGCUUGUUGUUGGGGUAGUUGCUGAGGUUUUUGUAGUGGUUGUACUUGUUGUUGGGAUACUUGAGGUUGUUGUAGGGGUAGUUAUAGAUGUUGUUGUACUGGCUGUGGUUGUUGUUGGGGUAGUUGAGGUUGCUGUUGGAGCAGCUGUGGUUGUUGUUGGGGCAGCUGUUGUAGUUGUGGUUGAGGUUGUUGUCACCACAGCUGUAGUUGUUGUAGUUGGGGCUGCAAUUGUAGAUGUUGUUGGGGCAGCUGUUGUGGUCCUUGUAGGGGCAGCAGUCGUGGUUGUUGGGGCUGCUGUUGUGGUUGUUGUUGGGGCACCUGUUGUGGUUGUAGUUGGUGCGGCUGUUGUGCUUGUUAAAGCAGCUGUGCUCGUGGCUGCAGUUGUGGUUGUUAAUGGGGAUGCUGUAGUUGUCGUUGUUGGGGCAGUUGUUGUGGUUGUUGUUGGGGCUGCAGUUGUAGUUGUUGGCACAGCUGUUGUGGUUGUAGUUUGGAAAGUUGUCGUGGUUGUUGUUGGUGUAGCUGUAGUAGUUGUUUUUGGGACUGAAGUUGUUGUGGUUGUUGUUUGGGCACCUGUAGUUGUUGAUGUGGGGGUGGUUGUUGUGGUUGUUGUUGGUGCUGCAGAUAUGGUUGUUGUUGGAGCAGGUGUAGUUGUUGUUGUUGGGCUAGCUGUUGUGGUUGUGGUUGUUUGAGAAGCUGUGGUUGUCACUGUAGUUGUAAUUGUUGUUGGUGAAACAGUUGUGGUUGUUGUGGUUGUUGUUGGUGAAGCUGUACUAGUUGUUGUUGGUACAGCAGUUGUUGUGGUUGUUGUUGGGGCAGCAGUAGUUGUUGUUGUUGGGGCAUCUGUUGUGGUUGUUGUUGGGCCUGGUGUUGUAGUUGUUGGUGCAGCAGUUGUGGUUGUUGUUUGGGCAGCUGUAGUUGUUGGCGCAGCAGUUGUGGUUGUUGAGGUUGUUGUUGGUGCAGCUGUAGUAGUUGUUGUUGGGACUGCAGUUGUUGUGGUUGUUGAUGGGGCAGCUGUAGUUGUUGUUGUUGUGGUUGGUGGCGCAGCUGUAGUUGUUGUUGUUGGGGCAGCUGUAGUUGUUGUUGUUGGUGCACCUGUAGUAGUUGUUGUUGUGAAUGUAGUUGUUGUGCUUGUUGUUGGGGCAGCAGUUGUAGUUGUUGGCACAUCAGUUAUGGAUGUUGUUUGGGCUACUGUAGCAGCAGUUGUUGGGGCAGCUGUUGUGGUUGGGGCAGCUGUAGUUGUUUUUGGGGUGGCUGUUGUGGUUGUUGUUGGGCCUGGCGUUGUAGUUGUUGGCGCAGCAGUUGUGGUUGUUGUUGGGGCAGCUGUAGUUGUUGUUGUUGGAGCUGCAGUUGUUGUUGUUGGCGCUGCAGUUGUGGUUGUUGUCGGUGCAGCUGUAAUUGUUGUUGUUGUGACUGCAAUUGUUGUUGUUGGGGCAGCGGUUGUGGUUGUUGUUGGGGCAGCUGUAGUUGUUGUUGUGUGGGCGCUUGUUGUGGUUUUUGUUGGAGCUGCAGUUGUGGUUGUUGGGGCGGCUGUUGUGGUUGUUGUUGGGGCAGCUGUAGUUGUUGUUGUUGGGGCGGCUGUUGUGGUUGUUGUUGGGGCAGCUGUAGUUGUUGUUGUUGGGGCGGCAGUUGUGGUUGUUGUUGGGGCAGCUGUAGUUGUUGUUGUUGGGGCUGCAGUAGUUGUUGUUGGGGCAGCUGUAGUCGUUGUUGGGGCGGCUGUUGUUGUUGUAGGGGCAGUUGUAGCAGUUGUUGGGGCAGCUGUAGUUGUUGUUGUUGUUGGGGCUGUAGUUGUUGUUGUUGGGGCAGCUGUAGCAGUUGUGGUUGUUGUUGGGGCAGCUGUAGUUGUUGUUGUUGGGGCUGCAGUUGUGGUUGUUGGGGCAGCUGUAGUUGUUGUUGUUGGAGCUGCAGUUGUGGUUGUUGGAGCAGCAGUUGUGGUUGUUGUUGGGGCAGCUGUAGUUGUUGUUGUUGUUGGGGCGGCUGUUGUGGUUGUUGUUGGGGCAGCUGUAGUUGUUGUUGUCUGGGCUGUUGUUGUGGUUGUUGUUGUGGCGGCUGUAGUCGUUGUUGUUGGGGCGGCAGUUGUGGUUGUUGUUGGCGCAGCAGCUGUAGUCGUUGUUGGGGCAGCUGUAGUUGUUGUUGUUGGGGCAGCUGUAGUUGUUGUUGUUGGAGCAGCUGUAGUUGUUGUUGUUGGAACUGCAGUUGUGGUUGUUGGAGCAGCAGUUGUGGUUGUUGUUGGGGCAGAUGUAGUUGUUGUUGUUGGGGGAGCAGUUGUGGUUGUUGGGGCAGCUGUAGCAGUUGUUGUUGGGGCUGCAGUAGUUGUUGUUGUUAGGGCAGCAGUUGUGGUUGUUGUUGGGGCAGCUGCAGUUGUUGUUGUUGGGGCGGCUGUUGUGGUUGUUGUUGGGGCAGCUGUAGUUGUUGUUGUUGGGGCAGCAGUAGCUGUA
ensembl:lncRNA